CGAUGAUCUCCCGCUUGCGGGGGUGAUUAGUGGCGAACGGGUGAGUAAUACGUGAGUAACCUGCCCUUGACUCUGGGAUAAGCCUGGGAAACCGGGUCUAAUACUGGAUACGACCCCCUGUCGCAUGGUGGGGGGUGGAAAGGGUUUGACUGGUUUUGGAUGGGCUCACGGCCUAUCAGCUUGUUGGUGGGGUAAUGGCUCACCAAGGCGACGACGGGUAGCCGGCCUGAGAGGGUGACCGGCCACACUGGGACUGAGACACGGCCCAGACUCCUACGGGAGGCAGCAGUGGGGAAUAUUGCACAAUGGGCGGAAGCCUGAUGCAGCGACGCCGCGUGAGGGAUGACGGCCUUCGGGUUGUAAACCUCUUUCAGCAGGGAAGAAGCCACAAGUGACGGUACCUGCAGAAGAAGCGCCGGCUAACUACGUGCCAGCAGCCGCGGUAAUACGUAGGGCGCAAGCGUUGUCCGGAAUUAUUGGGCGUAAAGAGCUCGUAGGCGGUUUGUCGCGUCUGCUGUGAAAGCCCGGGGCUCAACCCCGGGUCUGCAGUGGGUACGGGCAGACUAGAGUGCAGUAGGGGAGACUGGAAUUCCUGGUGUAGCGGUGAAAUGCGCAGAUAUCAGGAGGAACACCGAUGGCGAAGGCAGGUCUCUGGGCUGUUACUGACGCUGAGGAGCGAAAGCAUGGGGAGCGAACAGGAUUAGAUACCCUGGUAGUCCAUGCCGUAAACGUUGGGCACUAGGUGUGGGGGACAUUCCACGUUCUCCGCGCCGUAGCUAACGCAUUAAGUGCCCCGCC
rnacentral:rRNA from 1 species